rnacentral:rRNA from 1 species
UGGGGAAUAUUGCACAAUGGGCGCAAGCCUGAUGCAGCCAUGCCGCGUGUGUGAAGAAGGCCUUCGGGUUGUAAAGCACUUUCAGCGAGGAGGAAGGUGGUGAGCUUAAUACGCUCAUCAAUUGACGUUACUCGCAGAAGAAGCACCGGCUAACUCCGUGCCAGCAGCCGCGCGAUGGAGGGUGCAAGCGUUAAUCGGAAUUACUGGGCGUAAAGCGCACGCAGGCGGUUUGUUAAGUCAGAUGUGAAAAUCCCCGGGCUCAACCUGGGAACUGCAUUUGAAACUGGCAAGCUAGAGUCUCGUAGAGGGGGGUAGAAUUCCAGGUGUAGCGGUGAAAUGCGUAGAGAUCUGGAGGAAUACCGGUGGCGAAGGCGGCCCCCUGGACGAAGACCGACGCUCAGGUGCGAAAAGCGUGGGGCAGCAAACAGGAUUAGAUACCCUGGUAGUCCACGCUGUAAACGAUGUCGAUUUGGAGGUUGUGCCCUUGAGGCGUGGCUUCCGGAGCUAACG